rnacentral:rRNA from 1 species
UGGGGAAUAUUGGACAAUGGGCGCAAGCCUGAUCCAGCCAUGCCGCGUGAGUGAUGAAGGCCCUAGGGUUGUAAAGCUCUUUCACCGGUGAAGAUAAUGACGGUAACCGGAGAAGAAGCCCCGGCUAACUUCGUGCCAGCAGCCGCGGUAAUACGAAGGGGGCUAGCGUUGCUCGGAUUUACUGGGCGUAAAGCGCACGUAGGCGGACUAUUAAGUCAGGGGUGAAAUCCCGGGGCUCAACCCCGGAACUGCCUUUGAUACUGGUAGUCUUGAGUUCGAGAGAGGUGAGUGGAAUUCCGAGUGUAGAGGUGAAAUUCGUAGAUAUUCGGAGGAACACCAGUGGCGAAGGCGGCUCACUGGCUCGAUACUGACGCUGAGGUGCGAAAGCGUGGGGAGCAAACAGG